AUUGAACGCUGGCGGCAGGCCUAACACAUGCAAGUCGAGCGGAUGACGGGAGCUUGCUCCUGGAUUCAGCGGCGGACGGGUGAGUAAUGCCUAGGAAUCUGCCUGGUAGUGGGGGACAACGUUUCGAAAGGAACGCUAAUACCGCAUACGCCCUACGUGAGAAAGCAGGGGACCUUCGGGCCUUGCGCUAUCAGAUGAGCCUAGGUCGGGUUAGCUUGUUGGUGAGGUAAUGGCUCACCAAGGCGACGAUCCGUAACUGGUCUGAGAGGAUGAGCAGUCACACUGGAACUGAGACACGGUCCAGACUCCUACGGGAGGCAGCAGUGGGGAAUAUUGGACAAUGGGCGAAAGCCUGAUCCAGCCAUGCCGCGUGUGUGAAGAAGGUCUUCGGAUUGUAAAGCACUUUAAGUUGGGAGGAAGGGUUGUAGAUUAAUACUCUGCAAUUUUGACGUUACCGACAGAAUAAGCACCGGCUAACUCUGUGCCAGCAGCCGCCGCGGUAA
rnacentral:rRNA from 1 species